AGCCGUAAGGCGAAGCUCGCGACCGAAGCCCCGAUAAACGGCGGCCGUAACUAUGACGGUCCUAAGGUAGCGAAGUUCCUUGUCGGGUAAGUUCCGACGUGCAUGAAAGGCGUAAUGAGAGGAAGACUGUCUCAACCAGUAACCCGGUGAAAUUGUAGUCGUGGUGAAGAUGCCACGUUCCCGCAGCUAGACGGAAAGACCCCGUGAACCUUGACUGUAGGCUGAUAUUGGGCUCGUGUAUUGACUGUGUAGGAUAGGUGGGAGGCUUUGAACCUUGGGCGCCAGCUCGAGGGGAGCCAUUGGUGAAAUACCACCCUUUUAAUGCAUAAGUUCUAACGCUGAUUCCUGUGAAUCCAGGCAGCGGACAGUGUCAGUUGGGCAGUUUGACUGGGGCGGUCUCCUCCUAAAAGAGUAACGGAGGAGCCCAAUAGGCGACCUCAGCCUGGUUGGCAAUCAGGCAUCGAGCGUAAAAGGUAGAAGGUUGCUAAACUGCGAGACCCAUGAGUCGAGCAGAUGUGAAAGCAGGG
rnacentral:rRNA from 1 species